rnacentral:rRNA from 1 species
UACGGAGGGGGCAAGCGUUGUUCGGAAUUAUUGGGCGUAAAGGGCGCGUAGGCGGCCAGGUAAGUCAGGCGUGAAAUCCCACGGCUCAACCGUGGAACUGCGUUUGAUACUGCUUGGCUUGAGUCCCGGAGAGGGUAGUGGAAUUCCUAGUGUAGCGGUGAAAUGCGUAGAUAUUAGGAGGAACACCAGUGGCGAAGGCGACUACCUGGACGGGUACUGACGCUGAGGCGCGAAAGCAUGGGGAGCAAACAGG